AUUGGCUGAUGAGGCAUGGGAGGCUCAGCAGGUCUGUUCCCUUGGCAUGUGGGACAUCUUGCAGUGGAUGCAGGGAGGGACCAUGCCUCUAGCAUUCUCUGGGAAGAAUAAAGGAGAAGUUUAUCUUCCCACCUACCUCCCAUUGCCUGUUUUUCAUUGGUCAAAACUUGUCCCACUAGGAAUUAACUCCUUCACAUUUCCAAGUUUAUAUCAUAUGACUGCUCCAACUACAUGGGACCCCAAACCCCAAACCUGAUGUAUGUAUAGUGUUCCUGUUUCAUCCAAGCCUGGAAAUGAGGGGAAGAGCCAGAACCUCUAGGCUUGGUGCUCUGGAAAAAGAAUUAGAAUUGCAUUCAAAUAGUCAGGCUUCAAGUUGCUUCUGCCUCUGUGUGAAGCAAAUAGUAACAACUCACUUCGAAACUCAGGCUCCUGGACUGUAAAUGAGGAUAAUGAUACUCACCCUACCAACCUCAGGGACUGUUCUAAGAGCAAAAUGAAAUGAGACUGAGCUCUGAAAAUGCUUAAAUGCUUUUCAAAGUAGAGUGAUCGUGCUUUCUGUAGCAUCAAAACAGUCCUCUAUAAAUGGGCAAAGUCAAGGCAUGGACUGGAUCUGACAACAGAGAAUGGCUUGAGGGCUGGAAAAAGAAAAAAAUGCAAAUGCCCCAAAUCUCUGCUUCCCUUACAGUGUGGAAAUCGCCCCAUAACACACUGCACCAGGUAGGGUUAAAUUGAUCCCAAAUGUUUCAGGAAUUUUUAAUGCCCUUCGAAGAGACAUUUCCAAUUCUUCAUCUGCCCAAAGUAAUGCUGCUAACCUACUAUCUGUCAGUUUCCUCAGUGCUUUGAAGAUUUUUCUAAAGUCAUCUGACUUGGUUUCCCUUUGAUUUCAAAUUCCUGCUUAUUAUAUGUAUGACCUUGAGCCUUUUUAACUCAUCUGAGCCUCUCUGUUUCCUCAUCUAUAAAUUGUGAAUAAGAAGACGUUACUGUAGGAUUAUUAGAAACUUUAGAAAUAAUACUUUUAAUACCAGCAUAGUGCCUGAUCCAUAGGCAUCCAGGACAUGCCAGCUAAGAUCAUUGAUUAUUGUUGUCGUUUUUAGUAUCAUACAGUAGAAAGAACAACAUCUUUGAAACCAGACAAUCCCGCAUUUAAAUCAGCUCUGUCACUUACGAAACGUGUAAUCCUGAAUAACUGAAGAAAACUUUUUGAAGUUCAAUUUUGAGAUAAUGAUGGAUGAUUUCAGACUUUGUGAGAAUUUCAGAGGUAUCGGCAGUAGGUUGAAUGGUGAACCCUCCAAAAGAUAUAUCUAUGUUCCAAACUCAGAAUCUGUGAAUGUGACAUUAUUUGGGAAAAGGGGGUUUUGCAGAUAUAAUUAAGUUAAGCAUCCUGAGAUGAGAUCAUCCUGGAUUUUCUAGAUAGGGCCUAAAGCCAAUAAUGAGUGUCUAAGACAGAAGAAGACACAAAGAAGAAGAGACGGGAAUGUGGUCACAGAGGCAGAGACUGGAGCAAUGCAGCCACAAGCCAAGGAACACCUGGACCCACCAGAAGCUGGAAGAGGAAAGAAGGGAUUUCUUUUUCUUCUAGAGCCUUGGGAGGGAGCAUGGCCCUGCUGACAACUUAUUUUCAGACUUCUAGAUUCU
rnacentral:lncRNA from 1 species